rnacentral:rRNA from 1 species
CACGCCGUAAACGAUGAAUACUAGGUGUAGGGGUUGUCAUGACCUCUGUGCCGCCGCUAACGCAUUAAGUAUUCCGCCUGGGGAGUACGGUCGCAAGAUUAAAACUCAAAGGAAUUGACGGGGGCCCGCACAAGCAGCGGAGCAUGUGGUUUAAUUCGAAGCAACGCGAAGAACCUUACCUAGACUUGACAUCUCCUGAAUUACUCUGUAAUGGAGGAAGCCACUUCGGUGGCAGGAAGACAGGUGG